rnacentral:rRNA from 1 species
AGUGAACGCUGGCGGUAGGCCUAACACAUGCAAGUCGAACGGCAGCACAGUAAGAGCUUGCUCUUACGGGUGGCGAGUGGCGGACGGGUGAGGAAUACAUCGGAAUCUACUUUUUCGUGGGGGAUAACGUAGGGAAACUUACGCUAAUACCGCAUACGACCUACGGGUGAAAGCAGGGGAUCUUCGGACCUUGCGCGAUUGAAUGAGCCGAUGUCGGAUUAGCUAGUUGGCGGGGUAAAGGCCCACCAAGUCGACGAUCCGUAGCUGGUCUGAGAGGAUGAUCAGCCACACUGGAACUGAGACACGGUCCAGACUCCUACGGGAGGCAGCAGUGGGGAAUAUUGGACAAUGGGGGCAAGCCUGAUCCAGCCAUACCGAGUGGGUGAAGAAGGCCUUCGGGUUGUAAAGCCCUUUUGUUGGGAAAGAAAAGCAGCAGGUUAAUACCCCGCUGUUCUGACGGUACCCAAAGAAUAAGCACCGGCUAACUUCGUG